GGCUGGUCCGAUGGUAGUGGGUUAUCAGAACUUAUUAACACUAGUGUCAGUAAAGUUGGUAUUCAACCCCCCACUGCUAAAUUUGACUGGCUUUAA
rnacentral:Y_RNA from 1 species